ensembl:lncRNA LOC102550221 uncharacterized LOC102550221
UCCGGUGCAGUUGGGGCCACCAACCUUGCUAACUGAAGCGGAAACUCUUGACUUGUUAUCUUACAUUAACGGAAGCCCCCAGCAUCCUGGGAAGUUAUGGGGCUUACAGGUUAACUCUAGCCCUUACAUUGUCACUAAAAGUGUACUGUACCAUACACCUCCUCUGCUUCACGUUCCACAAAAGGUGUGAAGAUAUGGGACUGCUUCAGAGCAGCAGACUAUGAUUGGCUUCCUGAUCUAGCAGAGAGGCAUGGCUUUGCCAGAUGCAGAUAGUUUUCUGUGAUUGUUUGACGUUUGGAAUUCUGGAAACUUCAGAGGGCCCCGACAGAUGAGCUGAAAUUUAAAGAGAGAGGGAAUGCGUGUCCUUCUAAUACUGGGAAAGAAGAGUAUAAAAGGGCAACAGAUAGCAGUUGAUUGGUUGAUGUCCAUCAGCGGGAUGAAGAAAGAAAAAUCUCAGAUGGUUGCAAAAAAUCUAUACAGGAAUAUUCAUCACAGUAUGACCAGGCAAAUCUGUAUCUUCUCUUCUAUCCAGAGUGAAAACAUCUACUGUUCCCCGUGGAAUCUAAUACACAGCGAGAUCUAAUGAAACCAUUGUUUCAGAAUGAGAUCCCCUCACAUCUCUCUCUCAUCUAUCAUCUAUCUACCCACAAUGGAUCUAUGUAUUCACAAUAUGCACAUAUAUUAAAUGAAGCCCAUCAUAUAUAGUGGAUAAUAUAUAUGUGCUAUAUCUUAUACAUAUAUAAUAGAAUAUAUGAAAUAAUGUGACAUAUGCACAACAGCUGCUAAGGAAUGAAUGAGAGAAUGAAUUCUUAUUCCUAACAGGAAUAUUUAAACCAGAUGAUUCAUCUCUUGGCAAGUCUUCUGCUCCUUUAAAGCCUAAUGCCGUGACCCUUUAAUACAGUUCCUAAUGUUGUGGAGACCCCCCAACCAUAAAUUACUCUCAUUGCUAUUCAUAACUGUAAUUUUGUCACUGUUAUGAAUUGCAAUGUAUACAUCUGUAUAUGUCUUAGAUGACCCCUGUGAAGAGGUCAUUUGACUCCCAAAGGGGUUGUGACCUGCAUUUUGAGAAAUGCUGUUCUAGAUUGUGACGAAACACAGCCACAUACCUUUACCUGAAUAAUUUUAUAGAAACAUAUACAAGUUUUUGUAUUAUAAAUAUCCAUAAUGUACAAAGUGUAAUUUGGAAACAUGUAUCAGAAGUUGGUUCCUGCCUCUGGGAGAGGCAGGUAGCGGCUGUAGCAACUUGAGAAAGACUGACACUUCCUGUCUUUCUUUACGUAGUUGGAAAUUUUGGAUUGGGUACAUUUUCAUCACCGAAUGACAUACACAUAGAAAAAGUAUAUCACCUAACAAGAUUUUAAGUGCAUAUGCUUUUUGAUUCAAAUAUUUCUCUCCCGAGAAUAAUAUCCUGCAAACGCAUCC